rnacentral:snRNA from 1 species
AGAUGUGAGUGUGACCUGGCUGUGACAUCUGUCACCCCAUUGACAGCCAGGGUUGAUUUGGCUGAUGUGGCUGGCUACGCAGGUGUCCCCUUCCUCCCUCACUGCUCCAUGUGCAUCUGUCUGGAAGCUUAGCCCUCAGUGGAAGAGGAUGGUUUUUCCUGAAUAGAGACUGACUGGUCUCCAGUCAGUCAAGGGUAGCUGUGGUCCCCUGCUAGAACCUCCAAACAAGCUCUCAAGGAAAAAAAAAAGUUAAGGAAUAUAGUCUGUAUUGUUUAUAUAUCCCCUAUUCCUUACACGAAAACCUCAGUGUUUUUUUAAGG